rnacentral:tRNA from 1 species
GCCUGGGUGGCUCAGUUGUUAAGCGUCUGCCUUCGGCUCAGGGUGUGAUCCCAGAGUGGUGGGAUCGAGUCCCACCUCAGGCU